rnacentral:rRNA from 1 species
UACGAAGGGGGCUAGCGUUGUUCGGAUUUACUGGGCGUAAAGCGCACGUAGGCGGAUCGUUAAGUCGGGGGUGAAAUCCUGGAGCUCAACUCCAGAACUGCCUUCGAUACUGGCGAUCUUGAGUCCGGAAGAGGUGAGUGGAACUCCUAGUGUAGAGGUGGAAUUCGUAGAUAUUAGGAAGAACACCAGUGGCGAAGGCGGCUCACUGGUCCGGUACUGACGCUGAGGUGCGAAAGCGUGGGGAGCGAGCCGG